rnacentral:rRNA from 1 species
GGACCUGCGGAAGGAUCAUUGAAUAUGCAAACCACAACACGCACUCUCUACUUGUGUCUGACGUUAGGUCAACAUGCGCAAGCAUGUGGCCUACUAACCUACACACCAUUGACCAACCAAUCAUCAAACCAAACUCUGAAGCUUUGGCUGCUGUUGAUCGGCAGUUUUAACAAAGAACAACUCUCAACAACGGAUAUCUUGGCUCUCGCAACGAUGAAGAACGCAGCGAAAUGCGAUACGUAGUGUGAAUUGCAGAAUUCCGUGAACCAUCGAAUCUUUGAACGCAUAUUGCGCUCGACUCCCCGGAGAAGAGCAUGUCUGCCUCAGCGUCGGUUUACACCCUCACCCCUCUUCCUUAACAGGAGGCGCCUGUCGUGCUUGCUCAAGCCGGCAGCAGGGGUGGAUCUGGCUCUCCCAAUUGGUUCACUCCGAUUGGGUUGGCUGAAGCAUAGAGGAUUAAACUGGGACCCGAUUCGGGCUCAACUGGAUAGGUAGCAACACCCUCGGGUGCCUACACGAAGUUGUGUCUGAGGACCUGGUUAGGAUCCAAGCAGGAAACAUGCCUCUGGCAUGUACUCUGUAUUCGACCUGAGCUCAGGCAAGGCUACCCGCUGAUU